rnacentral:rRNA from 1 species
UACGUAGGGUCCGAGCGUUGUCCGGAAUUACUGGGCGUAAAGAGCUCGUAGGUGGUUUGUCGCGUUGUUCGUGAAAACUCACAGCUUAACUGUGGGCGUGCGGGCGAUACGGGCAGACUUGAGUACUGCAGGGGAGACUGGAAUUCCUGGUGUAGCGGUGGAAUGCGCAGAUAUCAGGAAGAACACCUAUGGCGAAGGCAGCUCUCUGGGACGGUACUGACGCUGAGACGCGAAAGCGUGGGGAGCGAACAGG